CACGGUUGCUGUUCACACCCUUUGGGAGCUACUGAUCUGCCUGCCUCCGACUGGACUUUUCUUUUCUGUGCCAAUGACUUCACACUUUUCUCGAGUACCAGAACACAUAGCACCCACCUGUGACAAGCAUGAUCAGGAGACUGAGAUCACUGUGAAUUUACACCAAAUGCAACAAGAAAGAGGGAACAGCUGCGACAAGGUUUUCUGAUGUGGAGUGAAAGGGCUUUGAAGCUGCUUUGUGUCCCCAGCAGCUCUAGAGAAAUGAAAAGGAAAAAAAAUAAAAAAGGAGCAGAAAUGUGUUUAAAUCACCUCAGAGAUGAGACAGACCUUUAUAACGCUGAGAACCAGCCACAGGAAGGUGAAGCCAUAAAUAUUGUCACACUAAACCAACUGUAAAGAGGCUCACUUCAUUCCUUGUGAUCCGAAGAUAUUUCUGGGGGUAAGCAGUGCAAGAAGAAGGAAUGACAUUGAGGCAUUCACCGAAGGAAAGUCAAGUGC
ensembl:lncRNA